CAGCUAUAUCACAUUGAAACACUGGUUCUGAUAUGAUCACCAAAGUUAAGCAACAUCAAGCCUGGUCAGUACCUAGAUGGAUGACCACUUGUGAAUACCAGGUGUUGUA